UACGGAGGAUGCGAGCGUUAUCCGGAUUUAUUGGGUUUAAAGGGUGCGUAGGCGGAUCGUUAAGUCAGUGGUCAAAUUGAGGGGCUCAACCCCUUCCCGCCAUUGAAACUGGCGAUCUUGAGUGGAAGAGAAGUAUGCGGAAUGCGUGGUGUAGCGGUGAAAUGCAUAGAUAUCACGCAGAACCCCGAUUGCGAAGGCAGCAUGCCGGCUUCCGACUGACGCUGAAGCACGAAAGCGUGG
rnacentral:rRNA from 1 species